rnacentral:rRNA from 1 species
CGGGCCUGCAGUGGGUACGGGCAGGCUAGAGUGCGGUAGGGGAGAUUGGAAUUCCUGGUGUAGCGGUGGAAUGCGCAGAUAUCAGGAGGAACACCGAUGGCGAAGGCAGAUCUCUGGGCCGUAACUGACGCUGAGGAGCGAAAGGGUGGGGAGCAAACAGGCUUAGAUACCCUGGUAGUCCACCCCGUAAACGUUGGGAACUAGUUGUGGGGUCCAUUCCACGGAUCCCGUGACGCAGCUAACGCAUUAAGUUCCCCGCCUGGGGAGUACGGCCGCAAGGCUAAAACUCAAAGGAAUUGACGGGGACCCGCACAAGCGGCGGAGCAUGCGGAUUAAUUCGAUGCAACGCGAAGAACCUUACCAAGGCUUGACAUAUACGAGAACGCUGCAGAAAUGUAGAACUCUUUGGACACUCGUAAACAGGUGGUGCAUGGUUGUCGUCAGCUCGUGUCGUGAGAUGUUGGGUUAAGUCCCGCAACGAGCGCAACCCUCGUUCUAUGUUGCCAGCACGUAAUGGUGGGAACUCAUGGGAUACUGCCGGGGUCAACUCGGAGGAAGGUGGGGAUGACGUCAAAUCAUCAUGCCCCUUAUGUCUUGGGCUUCACGCAUGCUACAAUGGCCGGUACAAAGGGCUGCAAUACCGCAAGGUGGAGCGAAUCCCAAAAAGCCGGUCCCAGUUCGGAUUGAGGUCUGCAACUCGACCUCAUGAAGUCGGAGUCGCUAGUAAUCGCAGAUCAGCAACGCUGCGGUGAAUACGUUCCCGGGUCUUGUACACACCGCCCGUCAAGUCAUGAAAGUCGGUAACACCUGAAGCCGGUGGCCCAACCCUUGUGGAGGGAGCCGUCGAAGGUGGGAUCGGUAAUUAGGACUAAGUCGUAACAAGGUAACCGU